rnacentral:piRNA from 1 species
UAACCCUGAGUGGACACAGCGCAUGUUUC